rnacentral:rRNA from 1 species
CAAUAGCGUAUAUUAAAGUUGUUGCGGUUAAAAAGCUCGUAGUUGGAGUCCUGCCAGGUGUCGCCUGUCUGCCCAAGUGGUACGAACAUGGCGUUCAUUUGGCCCUUUCAAGGGGAGCGUAUCUGCACUUUGUUGUGUGGUGCGGGAUCCUUGACUUUUACUUUGAGGAAAUAAGAGUGUUCCAAGCAGGCUCUCGUCGUGCAUAGCUCAGCAUGGAAUAAUAGCAUUGGACCUCGAUCCUAAGCUGUUGGUUGCCAGGAGCGAGGUAAUGAUGAAGAGGGAGUAGUUGGGGGCGAUUCGUAUUUAACUGUCAGAGGUGAAAUUCUUGGACCUCGUAGACUAACAACUAGCGAAGACAUUGUCCUA